rnacentral:rRNA from 1 species
UACGGAGGAUCCGAGCGUUAUCCGGAUUUAUUGGGUUUAAAGGGUGCGUAGGCGGGUUUUUAAGUCAGUGGUGAAAGUUUGCAGCUCAACUGUAAAAUUGCCAUUGAAACUGAAGACCUUGAGUGUAAAUGAGGUAGGCGGAAUGUGUUGUGUAGCGGUGAAAUGCUUAGAUAUGACACAGAACACCGAUUGCGAAGGCAGCUUACUAAGAUACAACUGACGCUGAGGCACGAAAGCGUGGGGAUCGAACAGGAUUAGUUACCCUGGUAGUCCACGCAGUAAACGAUGAUGACUAGCUGUUUGCGAUAUACAGUAAGUGGCUAAGCGAAAGCGAUAAGUAAUCCACCUGGGGAGUACGUUCGCAAGAAUGAA